AAAUGACGGUACCUGACUAAGAAGCCCCGGCUAACUACGUGCCAGCAGCCGCGGUAAUACGUAGGGGGCAAGCGUUAUCCGGAUUUACUGGGUGUAAAGGGAGCGUAGACGGCAUGGCAAGCCAGAUGUGAAAGCCCGGGGCUCAACCCCGGGACUGCAUUUGGAACUGUCAGGCUAGAGUGUCGGAGAGGAAAGCGGAAUUCCUAGUGUAGCGGUGAAAUGCGUAGAUAUUAGGAGGAACACCAGUGGCGAAGGCGGCUUUCUGGACGAUGACUGACGUUGAGGCUCGAAAGCGUGGGGAGCAAACAGGAUUAGAUACCCUGGUAGUCCACGCGGUAAACGAUGAAUGCUAGGUGUCGGGUGACGAAGUCAUUCGGUGCCGCCGCAAACGCAUUAAGCAUUCCACCUGGGGAGUACGUUCGCAAGAAUGAAACUCAAA
rnacentral:rRNA from 1 species